UCAGCUUGAAUAUAUACAUAAAAUUUCAAGGAUUUUAUAUGACUUGGUUGACUCACAAAUUCAGUUUUGAAUCAACAUUCAUAAUGACACGUUCAGACACAGCAGCUACCAUUUUAUUUUUCACGUUUCUCUGCAUUUCUUAUUAUCAUAUUCAAGCUCAGAUACAAAGAAACAACUUUAAUUGUGUUUCACCUACUGGAUUAAAUGGUUACUGUAUUGAUUUUUUCAACUGCCCAGCGUUAGUGAGAUUAAUUAAAUCCGUACCACUUUAUCCACAAGAUGAACAAUACUUGAGAGAUUCAAAAUGUGGAAUAAGCAGAAAUAAAAUACCGAAAGUAUGCUGUGUGCCAGAUAUUCUUUAAGAACAAACAGUUGUUGAUGUUUCUAUGUUAAUGUUCAAUAUAUCAAUAAAUAAAUGAUAAAAAAAUUUGAACAUUAA